UAACCACAAAACACAAGACCAGCAUAAUAUUGUCUACAGCGCUUAGAUCAUAGCCGUAAAUAGACGGGAUUUCCUUGUUGGAGAUUUUCCCGUUUGUCUCGCCCUUUCUGGUGAUUUGAAGGAUCAGAGUAGAAGAAAGUUGUGUUUAUUAAAUCUGUUACUAUAACAACAUCAUGAUGUCUGAUAUGUCACUUCAGCCAGUUGUCAACCAACAAAGUCUUAAUUUCCACCACCCUUGUAAUGUACAAAUAGGUGAGCACAACAUACAAAUUCAACCAACCAAGCAACUAAAAGAAGAUAAUGAUAGGAUGAAGAAUGAAAUACAACAACUCCAAUUAGACAAACAGAGGCAGACUGACGAGAUACAGAGACUCAAGUCAAGGGUUAAAGUUGUGGAAGAUAAAACAGGAGUCAAGAAAGUAAAUAAAAAUAUAAAUAAAGAAAAGGAUGCUAUGAUAACUCUUACUGUAAAGGGUCUUGGUGGUGAUGUCAUUAUAAGUGUUAGUAGAGAUAAAACUGUUAAAAAGUUAGAAGAGAUACUACAGGAGAAGUAUAGAAGAAAGUGUGGUAGAGAUGAUGUUGAUCUUUAUAUUAUUAGUAUCUACAGUGUAAAACAGGAUAAGGACAUUUACAGGUACAACAACAAAAAAAAUCUACCAUUGUCGUAUUACGGUGUAGAAGCCGGUGAUAAAGUCUGGUUGUAGUAGUCUUAAAAAAAUACAACACAAUUCAUGUGGAAAACAAUCUCAGGUUUAUACAUACUGUGCACAGCAGUCCAUCUACUUCAUACCUCGAGAAUACAUCACUGCCCUAAAUGACGUCCAUUUAAAACGCUCACGUGAUCAUUUUGGGGUGGGGCUUAUCGACUGGUACUUGUUUCUAUAACCGAAGCACGUGAUUUAUGUAAACAAAUAUGUCAAGUUAACAAAGUGUCGAUAUCUGCUACUCCGGUAAAAGAGAUAUAUAAUAUGUGCUAAUGGGUAAUAUUGCAAUACAGUCUUUAUCUUUGUAAACUGCCUUCUGUUUUUCUUUCAAAACAAGGUUAGAUACUCCAAAAUUUGUCUUCUCUGAACGUAUCUUUCAUGGGUGCCGCCAUAUUGAAUUAUUAGUGGACUAUUUCGUGAUACGGCUCAGAUGUGUUUGACACCUUUCAUACACUCAACGACUAAAUAAACAUAUUAAAUUUCAUUCAGUAUGAAAAUAGAAGAGAAAUAAAUACUUCUAAAAAUUUCUAAACGCAUACUCAGUGUUUUUGACUAUAAUCGUCGAUGUAGGAAUUAAAAUGUCGGUUAAUUAGGUUAGGGCCUGUUCUCAGGCGGAGCUAGCUAUAGACAGGCAGCCUAAGUUUGGGAUGUGGUUUAUACACAUAUAGCACAACGUUUCGACACAUAUUCUCUUAUCGUUUUCAAGUGCAAAUGAUAGGAGAAUACUUGUCGAAACCUCGUGCUAUAUGUGUAUAAACGAGUGACUGUAUUCCAUAUAAAUUGUGUUGUGUUUUUUUAAUGUGCUUAGUUGCUAAAACCACUCAAGGAUUGUAGUAGUCUGUUUGAUUACAUUGAGUUAAAAUGGUAUUAAAAUCAUACAUUCUUACUAUAAAACAAUUUUAAACAAUAUAUAAACCUGUUGGUGGUGGUGAUAUAGGCCUAGUGGUGUGCGAAGUGACAAAUUAAUUAUAUUGUAUGUGUUGUGUAUAUAAUUAUGGUGGUGUUACAGGCCUGGUGAUGGGUUAAGUAUAACAAAUUAUUUAUAUUGUAUGUGUUGUGUGUAUAAUUAUAAUAAAUAUGUACCAUUAUCAUUAUAUCAGAUUAAUUACGUGUUGUGUAUAUAAUUAUAAUAAAUAUGUACCAUUAUCAUCUUACUAUAAAAUAGUAUUAAACGGUCAACUUGAACAUAUUAUGGUGGUGAUACAGGCCUAGUGAUGGGUAAAGUAACUAAUAAAUUAUAAUGUAUGUACUGUUGUGUAUAUAAUCAAAAAAGACUGUGAAUAAUAAACUUUCACCAUUAUCAUAUUA